rnacentral:rRNA from 1 species
CGCGGUAUUUUGACCGUGCGAAGGUAGCAUAAUCAUUAGUCUUUUAAUUGAAGGCUUGUAUGAAGGGUUGGACGAGAAAUGAGCUGUCUUUAUUGAAAAAAUAGAAUUUAACUUUUAAGUGAGAGGGCUUAGAUAUUCUAAAGGGACGAUAAGACCCUAUAAAGUUUGACAUUUUAUUUAUUAAAAAAUAAGAUAAGCAGGUAAUUUUUAUUAAUAAAAUAGUGUUUUGUUGGGGCGAUUAGAAUAUAAAAAAUUUAACUGUUUUAUAUUGUUACAAAAGUAUUUGAGUUAUUUGAUCCUUAAUAAAGAUAUUAGAGUAAAUUACUUUAGGGAUAACAGCGUAAUUUUUUUUAAGAGUUCUUAUCUACAAAAAAGUUUGCGACCUCGAUGUUGAAUUAAAGAAUUCUUUAUGGCGCAGAAGUUAUAAAAGAAGGUCUGUUCGA